CAUAAACUUUUUUUCCACAUCUUUUAUUAAUUUAAUUAUAUGUUAUAAAUUUAAUCACUUUAAAAAUGACCUAAAGUCAACUCUGGCUGUGAUGUAGCUGUCUCUGAUAUAUUCUUCAAAAUUCUGUUUUUCCUGUCCCUGUAAAAGAACCUGACACAGCAAGAAUUUUCCUCCAGCGUAUACUUCCAUCCACAUCAAAUUAAGAUUUAGAUUUGCCAAUGAUGGUCUUUUUAUAGUCCUUUGGAUAUCAAAAUCAUGGCACAC
rnacentral:lncRNA from 1 species